GACCAAACACCAAGAAAAAUACAUGUAAAUAUAUAUGGCAAAUAAAAUGCCUCUGAUUCGAUUCUUUGGGUUUAAAUCUGAAUACAGAUACAGAUACAGAUACAGAUAGUGCGUCAUUGUGUUACACCCCUAAAAAAAAAAAAAAGGUAACUCAUAGCAUGAAGGUAAUAAUGAUGAUGAAAUAUAGAAAAGACUUUCAUUUUGAAAUGUUUACCUAUAGUCAAGGCAGUUGUUAGCUGUUGUGUUUAUACUGUACAUCUGUGUUCAUUUUGCUACUUUAAAGGGCUUCUUUAAAGGCCAGAAUAUUAUUUUAUAAUUGAAAAUCUGGGCACAGAUUUGUCGUUAAAUAAACUAGCCCUUAGGACAGAAACAGAUAUAUCAAAAUCUCAAUUGAAUCACAUUUGCAUGAUAUGACGAAUGUUGAGAACGCCAUAAAAUAAUAUGUAAAUUAAAAGAUAGGUACAGAGACAGACACGACAGAGCUGUCUCACCUAAACCCAAGUUAAACCUUAGGAUAUUUCUGUGAUAUUUCUCUUUUAUUUUGGGUUUUGUACUUUACGUAUGGUAAACAUCUGAAUUUCUUCUAUGGAAGUUCCUCCUAUAUUCAUUCCAAAUGCCAGAAGGUAUUGAUAUACACAGGUCAGCUAUGUUUCAGCCUCAUUCCUGCAGUAGCAUGUAAGCCACAGGUGAGUAUCCUGUCCCACGUUAUGUGAUUGAUGUCACACUUACCUCCUGAGUGGGGAAAAUCGCAGGGUGGAGGGCCUUGUGAUUUAGUGGGUGGUACACGACAGGUAUCAACAUCUAAAGACUUAAGUAGUCUUAAAGAAUGCCAUCUUUCCAAGUAACACUGAGUGCACGUUGAAUGGACCAGACCUGUAUUCUUAUGAAUUUUGUGUGUGUCCUGGCUUUUCAUUACUGCCUGAGCCUUUGUUUUGACUUCAUUGUCCACCUCAAUUACACAAUUUGUCAAAGUGGUUUUGGGGGAAUGCUUUUGAACAUACUUUGAGUGAUUAGCCCACUAUUCAUUAUCUAGAUCUACUUCCUGACGUAUAAUUCUAUACUUUAAAAAGCAGCUAAAAUUAGGCACUUUCGAUGGCGAGCAGACAUGAAGUCCGGACUUGUAUAACAAGACUCAUGCUGAAAAGACAGCAUGAAACAUAAUCAUCCGGUAGUAAUAGGCGUCGAUGAAAAAUAAUAGCACCCCCAAAAAAAACAGAGUGCAGUAUUUUCCCUAAAUGUUAUUGUUUAUUUAAGGUUGGCAGUGCACCCAAAAAUUACCUGCUAUGUGAUUUUUCUUUCACUGGACUGUUUUAACAGUUAUAAGGAAAGCGCAUGUGGAAUUUCCAGCUGACUUUAGGGGAACCAUGUCUUCCUGACUACACCCUGGUAUUUCCUGUCAAUCCGUGCUUGGGCGUGUUGACUUUGAAAGUGCUCCCCUUUCACCUUUUCGUGCCCCCAUACGGCUAAUUUCUUUUUAAAACUAAAUCUGGAUGUCAUCUGAAGAGACUCAGGUUUAAUAUACAGUUAAUGAUUUGUUAUUUACUCAGUUUAUUCAAAUGUACAUACCGUAUGUGCCGAGUUCAGAGUGGCUUGUGAUGUGGUCAAAUUAACAUACAAAUAAGACUUUUUAAACGCUGUCCCUUUUCCUGUGCUUUGUUACUCUUUUGCCAUCUCUGACGCAAGAUUGUUUUGAAUGCUAAGUUUCCUGUGUGACCUUAGAGGACAAAAGACCUCAUGAUCAAUAAGCUUGACUGAUCCCAAUCUUGCUAAACAUCUUCCGGCACUAAAAGUCAUACAUUUUCUGCUUUUUAAGCUGUCAGUAUUCAAUUAUGAGAUGGGAUUUUUGUCAAUGUCUGUCUGCUGAUCUUGACUUUUUGUGCUUUGGGUAUCCAACAUAGAGGGAAACCAAAAUCUGCAGCCCUUUGACAGUAGCUUGGAGCAGUGAUACUGAAUGGGAGGGUUAAAACAUCAGAACCUUGGUGUUACUAUUUUAAAACCUAUAAGGUCUGAACCGUAUAGCACGCCAUCUCAUAGACGUUAUUAUGCAUACACACAGGAACGCACACAUUUGUUGAAAUACAGAUAGGCAACGGCAAAGUUUCAGUCACGUGUUUCUGUAAUCAUGCCGUGUCUUUUCCCAAAAAGCAUGCAUGGUAAACAGAAAAGCUGCCCUAGCCAAGUUUUUCCUUAAAAAAAAAAAAAAAAACCACACACACACCCACGCACACAAAACGCUUCUGUGAUUUUUAUUUUUCUUGAAACAGAGGUUGGGCUUUGCCCUUCUGGUCCAUUUAUACCAGCCGGCCCUGGGUUGCAGGUUAUGAAGUAAUUCUGUACUCAGCUGUGACCUGUUCAUUUUGCUUUUGCAUGCAGUUUGGGGUGAAUGUGUUCCACCUUGGGCAAAUAUUGUUUUUCACGUGCGAUAGAAACCUACUGGGCGAGUGAGGUGCAGAACAAAUUUCUUCACAAUGUAGGACUUCAUUCAGGUCCCCCAACAUCCGGAUUGACUCUUUCAGUGCCUGAUGAAAAUUCAGCCUCUCUCCACCUCUCUGUUUGGAGGAAUGAAGAAGAGAAACGCUUCUGUUCGGAGCCUGUGAAAGUCUCCAUUCUUCCUUCUCAGGAAGAAGAGGGCUGUGGCGAGGAAGAACAUCCCCCCAAGGACGAUAACGAAGGGGCAGAGCAUGAGGGCGUAGCCUAAGCUCAGGAACUGCCACAGCACUGACGUUGCGUAGCUCUCCUGCAGAGCGUCUGAUAUCU